GACGGAGGAUGCAAGUGUUAUCCGGAAUCACUGGGCGUAAAGCGUCUGUAGGUGGUUUAAAAAGUCUACUGUUAAAAAUUGAAGCUUAACUUCAAAGAUGCCGUAGAAACUUUUAAACUUGAGGAUGGUAGGGGUAGAGGGAAUUUCCAGUGGAGCGGUGAAAUGCGUAGAUCUUGGAAAGACCACCAAUGGCGAAGGCACUCAACUGGGCCAUGACUGACACUAAGAGACGAAAGCUAGGGGAGCAAAUGGG
rnacentral:rRNA from 1 species